AGUGAACGCUGGCGGCGUGCCUAAUACAUGCAAGUCGAACGGAGUGGCGGACGGGUGAGUAAUGUAUAGCUAAGCUGCCCUACACUAGAGGACAACAGUUGGAAACGACGGCUAAUAAUCUAUAGUUUAGGAUGAGGCUAUAUUGUAUCAGCUAGUUGGUGAGGUAAUGGCUCACCAAGGCUAUGACGCAUAACUGGUCUUAUAGGAUGAUCAGUCACCCUGGAACUGAGCCACGGUCCAGACUCCUACGGUAGGCAGCAGUAGGUAAUAUUGCUCAAUGUGGGAAACCCUGAACCAGCUACGCCGCGUGGAGGAUGACACUUUUCGGAGCGUAAACUCCUUUUGUUAGGGAAGCGGUACCUAACGAAUCAGCACCGGCUAACUCCGUGCCAGCAGCCGCGGUAAUAC
rnacentral:rRNA from 1 species